CACUAAGGAAAGCCAGUGUGAGCACACAGCAAGAAGCCAGCCAUCUGCAACCCAGUGGGAGCCUCUCACCAGACAUCAACCCCUGCUGGCACCUUGAUCUUGGACUUCCAGUCUCCAGAACUGAGAAGCUAACUGCCAUGCCAUGAAGACACUCUGUGGAGUGAAGCAGCUCUGUGGAAAGAGCCACAUGGGAAGGAAUGAAGGCCUCCUGCUAAAGCCAGCGCCAGGCACCUCACUCUCAAGCCCUUAUCUGAGACCCAUGGCCCCAUCCCUGUAUCAGUCUGCCCCUUGACAAGGCUCACGAGGUGGGUGUAGAACAUGCCCAGGACACUUGGAGACAGAGACACAGCAUUUACAUGGAAGAAGGAGAGAUCCCUAGAAAUGGAACCCCUGGUCAAAGAAUAACUUCACUGAAACACAGAUCUCAUCCUUACCUCAAUUUCCUUUAUCUUAUUUUAUCCUCUAGAUAGACCUGGGAGAUGAAAUUGGAAGGAUAAAGAUUACUAUUCCCAUUGGAUCAAGAAGGAAACUGAGGGCCAGAAAGUAUGAGGAUUUGCCCAAGCCUCACAGCUAACAGCUGAGAAUAGCCCUAGUACCAUGAAGUAAUAUGGGAAAGAUCAAAAUCCCUGCUCUAUUCCUCAGCUGAAUCCUUGAGCAAGUCAUAUCAGCUCUCUAAGUCACAGCACUUUUACCUUAAAACAGAGAAAAUACCACCUACUUCACCGAGCUAUGGUACCAACAGAGUGAGCAGUCAUCUUAUAUAAAUAAUCUGGCAUGGUUUCUUGAGCUAUGGGAGGUACUCACUAAACAUUAAUUAACUGGCUUCUUUAAUUCACUUCCGCAGUCAAAUCUUGUUCAAGUGCCCUCUCCCUGAUCUGGGCUUCAUGAUUUGAGCUUGUUUUACAAUUAACUGUCUGUCUCCCCUUCUGGAUUCAGCUGAGUUUUUAUCCAUCCUUACAACCUGUCAACACUGAACCUAGAGUAAAUCCUUGGACGUGUUACUCCUUUCAGUAAACAUUUA